ACCUGCGCUUCCAUUUCACGGUCAGACAGGCCACCGCAGAUCUGGAUAAUACGGUCAGACAGCGUCGAUUUACCGUGGUCGAUGUGAGCUAUGAUUGAAAAGUUACGUAUGUUCUUCAUAUAGUGUAAUUAUUGUGCCUUACGCCUGGUUCGACAGGCUUUGAGAAGUCGCUGUUCUGAGCUUAACGUCUGUUUAAGUGAAACGCCGCAUUCUACACUACAACGCUGAGGCGAGGAAAUGUUCAUAGAGCAAGGAUAGCGGGAACUGGAAACAACAUCGCUUUUGCAAUGCAAAAUACAACAAAGCCAGUGAAAUCACUGGCUCGUUUCGGCUGGAGGGGUCUCGACGCGGAGCAUUCCCGGGGGCAAAGCAACGUUCAGAAUCACCGGUUGCCAGGCUUCUCGCUUUGCCAGUUUGCGGGAGAAACCACGCGCAAUCAAAAAUCCCCCGACCCCGCCCAAUAUCGCACCGCUCAAUGAAGCCAUAUCUGAGCCGAACAAGACCUGAAACAGGGAAGCAAACAGAAAAAGUCCAGCCAGCGGCGACAGGUAUACCAACAUCGCUGACCCCAGCAGGCUCCCUUCGGCAAUACCCAACUCUACUUUCUGCCCUGGAACCAACGGUUCAGCACUCGGUACCACAAUCGUAUGCGUCGUUUGUGGUCCCAGUUUAUUCAACACCCGAGUGCCGCAUCCCGCACGGGAAGCGCAACUGCUGCAGGAUGCCUUAACAUUACAACUCACCCUCGCCUGACCAUCCUGCCAGGAGACAACCGUUGCCCACUCUUUGAUCAUUGCGCAGCCCUGAACUUAAUGUUGUCUGCAAUGCGU
rnacentral:ncRNA from 1 species